rnacentral:rRNA from 1 species
ACGCUAGCUAUAGGCUUAACACAUGCAAGUCGAGGGGAAACGGCAUUAUGUGCUUGCACAUUUUGGACGUCGACCGGCGCACGGGUGAGUAUCGCGUAUCCAACCUGCCCUUUACUUGGGGAUACCCCGUUGAAAGACGGCCUAAUACCCGAUGUAAUUCAUUGAUGGCAUCAGAUAUGAAUAAAAGAUUUAUCGGUAAAGGAUGGGGAUGCGUCUGAUUAGCUUGUUGGUGAGGUAAAGGCUCACCAAGGCAACGAUCAGUAGGGGUUCUGAGAGGAAGGUCCCCCACAUUGGAACUGAGACACGGUCCAAACUCCUACGGGAGGCAGCAGUGAGGAAUAUUGGUCAAUGGGCGCAAGCCUGAACCAGCCAAGUAGCGUGCAGGAAGACGGCCCUAUGGGUUGUAAACUGCUUUUAUACGAGAAUAAUUUGAUGCACGUGUGCGUUAUUGCGUGUAUCGUAUGAAUAAGGACCGGCUAAUUCCGUGCCAGCAGCCGCGGUAAUACGGAAGGUCCAGGCGUUAUCCGGAUUUAUUGGGUUUAAAGGGAGUGUAGGCGGUUUGUUAAGCGUGUUGUGAAAUUUAGGUGCUCAACAUUUAACUUGCAGCGCGAACUGUCAGACUUGAGUACACGCAACGUAUGCGGAAUUCAUGGUGUAGCGGUGAAAUGCUUAGAUAUCAUGAAGAACUCCGAUUGCGAAGGCAGCAUACGGGAGUGUAACUGACGCUUAAGCUCGAAGGUGCGGGUAUCGAACAGGAUUAGAUACCCUGGUAGUCCGCACAGUAAACGAUGGAUGCCCGCUGUUAGCGCCUGGCGUUAGCGGCUAAGCGAAAGCAUUAAGCAUCCCACCUGGGGAGUACGCCGGCAACGGUGAAACUCAAAGGAAUUGACGGGGGCCCGCACAAGCGGAGGAACAUGUGGUU